GACGAACGCUGGCGGCGUGCUUAACACAUGCAAGUCGAACGGAAAGGCCCUGCUUUUGUGGGGUGCUCGAGUGGCGAACGGGUGAGUAACACGUGUGUAACCUGCCCUUGACUUUGGGAUAACUUCAGGAAACUGGGGCUAAUACCGGAUAGGAGCUCCUGCUGCAUGGUGGGGGUUGGAAAGUUUCGGCGGUUGGGGAUGGACUCGCGGCUUAUCAGCUUGUUGGUGGGGUAGUGGCUUACCAAGGCUUUGACGGGUAGCCGGCCUGAGAGGGUGACCGGCCACAUUGGGACUGAGAUACGGCCCAGACUCCUACGGGCGGCAGCAGUGGGGAAUAUUGCACAAUGGGCGGAAGCCUGAUGCAGCAACGCCGCGUGCGGGAUGAAGGCCUUCGGGUUGUAACCCGCUUUCGCCUGUGACGAAGCGUGAGUGACGGUAAUGGGUAAAGAAGCACCGGCUAACUACGUG
rnacentral:rRNA from 1 species